GGGAAAUCCAACGACCAUGUCCUCUGUUGCGAGUCUUCCAUGCAAUUCGACAGCUACAUCUGGAACAGCUAGCAGCAUGAGGGCUGGAUGGACCUACAGAACCGUCAAGUUAAUCAGCAGGGGUGGCGACCACCUCAGGGCAGAGGCUGCGGGCGUCGCUCAAUGGAGACGCCAUUUUUGGCUGGCAUGACGUUGAUGUUUCCCGCAAGAACCUCCACAGGGUGCACCUGUUAAGCUAAAGAACGUGAAUGAAGAUUAUGGAUAACUUU